rnacentral:rRNA from 1 species
UACGUAGGGGGCAAGCGUUGUCCGGAAUCAUUGGGCGUAAAGCGCGUGUAGGCGGCCCGGUAAGUCCGCUGUAAAAGUCCAGAGCUCAACCCUGGAAAGCCGGUGGAUACUGUCGGGCUCGAGUCCGGAAGAGGCGAGUGGAAUUCCUGGUGUAGCGGUGAAAUGCGCAGAUAUCAGGAGGAACACCAAUGGCGAAGGCAGCUCGCUGGGACGGUACUGACGCUGAGACGCGAAAGCGUGGGGAGCAAACAGG